UCUAGAAAUGGUAAAAUUGUUAAUUCAUACAAUAAUAAAAUUAUAUUUUAAUCCUCUAAAAUUUAUAAUUUAAUUUCAAUCUUCCAAAAGAAUUUUAGCUUGACUUCUGUUUGUGCAAAGCGAAUGACGUUCGAAGAUAUCAGAGUUAGACAUUUGGGCAUCUACUUCUAAUGAUGCGCACUAUAUAGAGGGAAUAGGAUUCCUGUGCCUAAGUUAACCAAGAGAAACGAGACGAGGAUCAAGCUGAGUUUUGGAAAUGGAGCUCGAACUAGAAAUGGUUUGGCAAGUACAUGCAGUGAUGACCAGAGCUUUGAAACCAAUAGGCAAGAUGGAUCUGUAUGGUUUGGGGUUCGAGCCAGAUAUGGGCCAAAGAAGGAAGCAGUAGUAGAAGAAUCAAGAAAGAAGAAUGGCAAGAACUUUAGAUCUGGAAGUGGGAAUGGGAACCUAUGACUAAUCGUUCUUUGUCAGAAAUUUUCACAUCCGCAGGACUGAUGUACUAUGGACAAGAUAAUCUGGAAAUACGAUGGUAUCGGCUGAAAAAAACUCUUCAGAAAUUCAGCAUAAAUGUCAUGAAUAAGGGAAACAGUGCAACUAGGAAUCUGUCAGUGAUAAGCUUAUGUCCUUGAAGGUAUGUACUGAACACUUAAAAGACUUUUUGUCGACCUUCAUGUAGUUUUUAAGCCCUUUUCAAAGUAAUGCUCAAAACUAAACCUUUGCUUUAGCUCGAAAGCAAUUGAGAUCUUUUGUAAAAGCUUAUGUGUACUCUUUACUAAUAAUGCUUUUUUUUUUUAA